rnacentral:lncRNA from 1 species
AUGGUGAUUUGUAAAUAUGUGGUUGGGGCGAUUCUUUGGUACACGUUAGUGCUUAAUGGAUGUACUUCUCCAAUCGGUUGUCCUUUCCACCGAAGUGGUGUUAAACAAGUUGACUUGGAGGGCAAAGACUCUGAAAAUCCAUCACAGCCAGUGGUAGCAAAGUGUAACUUGGCGGUUUUGCUUUCUUUAAAGAAUACGACUGGGAUAGUUAUCCAAAGAGGCGUUGUUGGGAAGUUAAAUGGCUCUAUCCCUUACCCACUUGAAAUUUCUAGCCCCCAUAUCACCAAGGAGUCUAGUCCUGUGCUGGCUAAGGCUGAUACAAAGUUGAGAUUGUCCAGUUGUCUCUCUGCUCAGGAGACUGUUCUCCCAAUUUCUAAGAUUGAGAAACAGACUGAGUCUAUCCCCACUUUUGUAAAGUCCAACCCUUUGUCUGCUGCAUCUAGUCCUAUCCCUGUGGUGUCCAGCCCUCUACCUGCUCCAUCUAAGAAUCUGACUGAAUCCAGUCCCCCUUUUGAUGAGUCCACCUCCCUGCCUGCUGCAUCUAGUCCCCCUUCUAUGGCAUCCAGCACUCUUCGUACUGAGAAGCUGAUUGAUUCUAGACCCCUUUUUGUGGAGACUGGUUCCAUAAUUGUGGCAUCCAGUCCUGUACCCACUGAGAAGCACACGGAGACUGGUUCUCUAUCUGUGGAGAUUGGUCCUGUACCCACUGCGAAGCUUAGUGAGACUGGUUCUGUAUCUGUGGAGAUUGGUCCUGUACCUACUGAGAAGCUAACUGAGACUAUAUCUGUGGAGAUUGGUCCUGUCCCUGCUCAGAAGGUGACUGAAACUGGUUCUGUGGAGAUUGGUCCUUUCCCCACUGAGAAGAUGACUGAAACUGGUUCUAUAUCUAUUGCAUCCAGUCCUGUACCCACUCAGAAGAUAACAGAGACUGGUUCUGUAUCUGUGGAGAUUGGUCCUCUCCCCACUCAGAAGCUGACUGAGACUGGUUCUGUAUCUGUGGAGAUUGGUCCUUUCCCCACUCAGAAGGUGACUGAAACUGGUUCUAUAUCUGUGGAGAUUGGUCCUGCACCCACUCAGAAGCUGACUGAGACUGGUUCUGUAUCUGUGGAGGUUGGUCCUGUACCCACUCAGAAGAUAACCGAGACUGGUUCUGUAUCUGUGGAGAUUGGUCCUUUCCCCACUCAGAAGGUGACUGAAACUGGUUCUAUAUCUGUGGAGAUUGUUACUGCACCCACUCAGAAGCUGACUGAGACUGGUUCUGUAUCUGUGGAGGUUGGUUCUUUCCCCACUCAGAAGGUGACUGAAACUGGUUCUGUAUCUGUGGAGGUUGGUCCUGUACCCACUCAGAAGAUAACAAACACUGGUUCUAUAUCUGUGGAGAUUGUUCCUGCACCCACUCAGAAGCUGACUGAGACUGGUUCUGUAUCUGUGGAGGUUGUUCCUGUACCCACUCAGAAGAUAACAGACACUGGUUCUGUAUCUGUAGAGGUUGGUCCUUUCCCGACUCAGAAGGUGACAGAAACUGGUUCCUUAUCUGUGGAGAUUGGUCCUGUCCCCACUCAGAAGCUGACUGAGACUGGUUCUGUAUCUGUGGAGAUUGGUCCUUUCCCCACUCAGAAGCUGACUGAGACUGGUUCUGUAUCUGUGGAGGUUGGUUCUUUCCCCACGCAGAAGGUGACUGAAACUGGUUCUGUAUCUGUGGAGGUUGGUCCUAUCCCCACUCAGAAGGUGACUGAAACUGGUUCUGUAUCUGUGGAGGUUGUUCCUGUACCCACUCAGAAGAUAACCGAGACUGGUUCUGUAUCUGUGGAGGUUGGUUCUUUCCCCACUCAGAAGGUGACUGAAACUGGUUCUGUAUCUGUGGAGAUUGUUCCUGUACCCACUCAGAAGCUGACUGAGACUGGUUCUGUAUCUGUGGAGGUUGUUCCUGUACCCACUCAGAAGGUGACAGAAACUGGUUCCUUAUCUGUGGAGGUUGGUCCUGUCCCCACAGAGAAGAUGACUGAGACUGGUUCUGUAUCUGUGGAGGUUGUUCCUGUACCCACUCAGAAGAUAACCGAGACUGGUUCUGUAUCUGUGGAGGUUGUUCCUGUACCCACUCAGAAGAUAACCGAGACUGGUUCUGGAUCUGUGGAGGUUGGUCCUGUACCCACUCAGAAGAUAACAAACACUGGUUCUGUAUUAGUGGAGAUUGGUCCUCUCCCCACUCAGAAGGUGACUGAAACUGGUUCUGUAUCUGUGGAGGUUGGUCCUGUACCCACUCAGAAGGUGACUGAAACUGGUUCCUUAUCUGUGGAGGUUGGUCCUGUCCCCACUCAGAAGAUGACUGAAACUGGUUCUGUAUCUGUGGAGGUUGGUCCUGUACCCACUCAGAAGAUAACAGACACUGGUUCUGUAUCUGUAGAGGUUGGUCCUUUACCGACUCAGAAGGUGACAGAAACUGGUUCCUUAUCUGUGGAGAUUGGUCCUGUACCCACUCAGAAGCUGACUGAGACUGGUUCUGUAUCUGUGGAGGUUGUUCCUGUACCCACUCAGAAGGUGACUGAAACUGGUUCUGUAUCUGUGGAGGUUGUUCCUGUACCCACUCAGAAGAUAACCGAGACUGGUUCUGUAUCUGUGGAGGUUGGUCCUGUACCCACUCAGAAGAUAACAGACACUGGUUCUGUAUCUGUAGAGGUUGGUCCUUUCCCGACUCAGAAGGUGACAGAAACUGGUUCCUUAUCUGUGGAGAUUGGUCCUGUCCCCACUCAGAAGCUGACUGAGACUGGUUCUGUAUCUGUGGAGGUUGGUUCUUUCCCCACGCAGAAGGUGACUGAAACUGGUUCUGUAUCUGUGGAGGUUGGUCCUAUCCCCACUCAGAAGGUGACUGAAACUGGUUCUGUAUCUGUGGAGGUUGUUCCUGUACCCACUCAGAAGAUAACCGAGACUGGUUCUGUAUCUGUGGAGGUUGGUCCUGUACCCACUCAGAAGAUAACAGACACUGGUUCUGUAUCUGUAGAGGUUGGUCCUUUCCCGACUCAGAAGGUGACAGAAACUGGUUCCUUAUCUGUGGAGAUUGGUCCUGUCCCCACUCAGAAGCUGACUGAGACUGGUUCUGUAUCUGUGGAGGUUGGUUCUUUCCCCACGCAGAAGGUGACUGAAACUGGUUCUGUAUCUGUGGAGGUUGGUCCUAUCCCCACUCAGGUGACUGAAACUGGUUCUGUAUCUGUGGAGGUUGUUCCUGUACCCACUCAGAAGCUGACUGAAACUGGUUCUGUAUCUGUGGAGAUUGUUCCUGUACCCACUCAGAAGAUGACCGAGACUGGUUCUGUAUCUGUGGAGGUUGGUUCUUUCCCCACUCAGAAGGUGACUGAAACUGGUUCUGUUUCUGUGGAGGUUGUUCCUGUACCCACUCGGAAGAUAACCGAGACUGGUUCUGUAUCUGUGGAGGUUGGUCCUGUACCCACUCAGAAGAUAACAGACACUGGUUCUGUAUCUGUGGAGGUUGGUCCUGUACCCACUCAGAAGAUAACAGACACUGGUUCUGUAUCUGUAGAGGUUGGUCCUUUCCCGACUCAGAAGGUGACAGAAACUGGUUCCUUAUCUGUGGAGAUUGGUCCUGUCCCCACUCAGAAGCUGACUGAGACUGGUUCUGUAUCUGUGGAGGUUGGUUCUUUCCCCACGCAGAAGGUGACUGAAACUGGUUCUGUAUCUGUGGAGGUUGGUCCUAUCCCCACUCAGGUGACUGAAACUGGUUCUGUAUCUGUGGAGGUUGUUCCUGUACCCACUCAGAAGCUGACUGAAACUGGUUCUGUAUCUGUGGAGAUUGUUCCUGUACCCACUCAGAAGCUGACCGAGACUGGUUCUGUAUCUGUGGAGGUUGGUUCUUUCCCCACUCAGAAGGUGACUGAAACUGGUUCUGUUUCUGUGGAGGUUGUUCCUGUACCCACUCAGAAGAUAACAGACACUGGUUCUGUAUCUGUGGAGUUUGUUCCUGUACCCACGCAGAAGGUGACUGAAACUGGUUCUGUAUCUGUGGAGGUUGUUCCUGCACCCACUCAGAAGAUAACCGAGACUGGUUCUGUAUCUGUGGAGAUUGGUCCUUUCCCCACUCAGAAGCUGACUGAGACUGGUUCUGUAUCUGUGGAGGUUGUUCCUGUACCCGCUCAGAAGAUAACCGAGACUGGUUCUGUAUCUGUGGAGGUUGGUCCUGUACCCACUCAGAAGAUAACAGACACUGGUUCUGUAUCUGUAGAGGUUGGUCCUUUCCCGACUCAGGUGACAGAAACUGGUUCCUUAUCUGUGGAGAUUGGUCCUGUCCCCACUCAGAAGAUGACUGAGACUGGUUCUGUAUCUGUGGAGGUUGGUCCUGUACCCACUCAGAAGAUGACUGAGACUGGUUCUGUAUCUGUGGAGGUUGGUCCUGUACCCACUCAGAAGAUGACCGAGACUGGUUCUGUAUCUGUGGAGGUUGGUCCUGUACCCACUCAGAAGAUAACCGAGACUGGUUCUGUAUCUGUGGAGGUUGGUUCUGUCCCCACUCAGAAGGUGACUGAAACUGGUUCUGUAUCUGUGGAGGUUGUUCCUGUACCCACUCAGAAGAUAACAGACACUGGUUCUGUAUCUGUGGAGGUUGUUCCUGUACCCACGCAGAAGGUGACUGAAACUGGUUCUGUAUCUGUGGAGGCUGUUCCUGCACCCACUCAGAAGAUAACCGAGACUGGUUCUGUAUCUGUGGAGAUUGGUCCUUUCCCCACUCAGAAGCUGACUGAAACUGGUUCUGUAUCUGUGGAGGUUGUUCCUGUACCCACUCAGAAGAUAACAGACACUGGUUCUGUAUCUGUGGAGGUUGGUCCUUUCCCCACUCAGAAGCUGACUGAGACUGGUUCUGUAUCUGUGGAGGUUGGUUCUUUCCCCACGCAGAAGGUGACUGAAACUGGUUCUGUAUCUGUGGAGGUUGUUCCUGCACCCACUCAGAAGAUAACCGAGACUGGUUCUGUAUCUGUGGAGGUUGUUCCUGUACCCACUCAGAAGCUGACUGAAACUGGUUCUAUAUCUAUUGCAUCCAGUCCUGUCCCCACUCAGAAGAUAACCGAGACUGGUUCUGGAUCUGUGGAGGUUGGUCCUGUCCCCACUCAGAAGAUGACUGAAACUGGUUCUGUAUCUGUGGAGGUUGGUCCUGUCCCCACUCAGAAGAUGACUGAAACUGGUUCUGUAUCUGUGGAGAUUGGUCCUGUACCCACUCAGAAGAUGACUGACACUGGUUCUGUAUCUGUGGAGGUUGGUCCUGUCCCCACUCAGAAGAUAACCGAGACUGGUUCUGUAUCUGUGGAGGUUGGUCCUGUACCCACUCAGAAGAUAACCGAGACUGGUUCUGUAUCUGUGGAGGUUGGUCCUGUCCCCACUCAGAAGGUGACUGAAACUGGUUCUGUAUCUGUGGAGGUUGGUUCUGUACCCACUCAGAAGCUGACUGAGACUGGUUCUGUAUCUGUGGAGGUUGGUUCUUUCCCCACGCAGAAGGUGACUGAAACUGGUUCUGUAUCUGUGAAGGUUGUUCCUGCACCCACUCAGAAGAUAACCGAGACUGGUUCUGUAUCUGUGGAGGUUGUUCCUGUACCCACUCAGAAGCUGACUGAAACUGGUUCUAUAUCUAUUGCAUCCAGUCCUGUCCCCACAGAGAAGAUGACUGAAACUGGUUCUGUAUCUGUGGAGGUUGUUCCUGAACCCACUCAGAAGAUAACAGACACUGGUUCUGUAUCUGUGGAGGUUGGUCCUGUACCCACUCAGAAGAUAACCGAGACUGGUUCUGUAUCUGUGGAGGUUGUUUCUGUACCCACUCAGAAGCUGACUGAAACUGGUUCUAUAUCUAUUGCAUCCAGUCCUCUCCCCACAGAGAAGAUGACUGAAACUGGUUCUGUAUCUGAGGUUGUUCCUGUACCCACUCAGAAGAUAACAGACACUGGUUCUGUAUCUGUGGAGGUUGGUCCUUUCCCCACUCAGAAGCUGACUGAAACUGGUUCUAUAUCUAUUGCAUCCAGUCCUGUCCCCACAGAGAGGAUAACCGAGACUGGUUCUGUAUCUGUGGAGAUUGGUCCUUUCCCCACUCAGAAGGUGACUGAAACUGGUUCUCUAUCUGUGGAGAUUGGUCCCGUCCCUACUCAGAAGGUGACUGACACUGGUUCUCUAUCUGUGGAGGUUGGUGCCGUCCCUACUCAGAAGGUGACUGAAACUGGUUCUAUAUCUGUGGAGGUUGGUCCUGUCCCCACUCAGAAGCUGACUGAGACUGGUUCUGUAUCUGUGGAGGUUGGUCCUGUACCCACUCAGAAGAUAACUGAGACUGGUUCUGUAUCUGUGGAGGUUGGUCCUGUACCCACUCAGAAGCUGACUGAGACUGGUUCUGUAUCUGUGGAGGUUGGUCCUGUACCCACUCAGAAGCUGACUGAGACUGGUUCUGUAUCUGUGGAGGUUGGUCCUGUCCCCACUCAGAAGGUGACUGAAACUGGUUCUCUAUCUGUGGAGGUUGGUCCUGUCCCUACUCAGAAGGUGACUGAAACUGGUUCUCUAUCUGUGGAGGUUGGUCCUGUCCCUACUCAGAAGGUGACUGAAACUGGUUCUGUAUCUGUGGAGGUUGGUCCUGUACCCACUCAGAAGGUGACUGAAACUGGUUCUGUAUCUGUGGAGAUUGUUCCUGUACCCACUCAGAAGCUGACUGAGACUGGUUCUGUAUCUGUGGAGGUUGGUUUUUUCCCCACGCAGAAGGUGACUGAAACUGGUUCCUUAUCUGUGGAGGUUGGUCCUGUCCCCACUCAGAAGUUGACUGAAACUGAUUCUGUAUCUGUGGAGAUUGUUCCUGUACCCACUCAGAAGCUGACUGAGACUGGUUCUGUAUCUGUGGAGGUUGGUCCUGUACCCACUCAGAAGACAAACGAGACUGGUUCUGUAUCUGUGGAGGUUGGUUCUUUCCCCACGCAGAAGGUGACUGAAACUGGUUCUGUAUCUGUGGAGGUUGUUCCUGUACCCACUCAGAAGAUAACCGAGACUGGUUCUGUAUCUGUGGAGGUUGGUCCUGUCCCCACUCAGAAGGUGACUGAAACUGGUUCUCUAUCUGUGGAGAUUGGUACCGUCCCUACUCAGAAGGUGACUGAAACUGGUUCUCUAUCUGUGGAGAUUGGUCCCGUCCCUACUCAGAAGGUGACUGAAACUGGUUCUGUAUCUGUGGAGGUUGGUCCUGUACCCACUCAGAAGAUAACUGAGACUGGUUCUGUAUCUGUGGAGGUUGGUCCUGUCCCCACUCAGAAGGUGACUGAAACUGGUUCUGUAUCUGUGGAGGUUGGUCCUGUACCCACUCAGAAGAUAACUGAAACUGGUUCCUUAUCUGUGGAGGUUGGUCCUGUCCCCACUCAGAAGGUGACUGAGACAGCUUCUGUAUCUGUGGAGAUUGGUCCUGUCCCCACUGAGAAGAUGACUGAAACUGGUUCUGUAUCUGUGGAGGUUGGUCCUGUACCCACUCAGAAGAUGACUGAAACUGGUUCUGUAUCUGUGGAGGUUGGUCCUGUACCCACUCAGGUGACUGAAACUGGUUCUCUAUCUGUGGAGAUUGGUACCGUCCCUACUCAGAAGGUGACUGAAACUGGUUCUCUAUCUGUGGAGAUUGGUCCCGUCCCUACUCAGAAGGUGACUGAAACUGGUUCUGUAUCUGUGGAGGUUGGUCCUGUACCCACUCAGAAGGUGACUGAAACUGGUUCUGUAUCUGUGGAGAUUGUUCCUGUACCCACUCAGAAGCUGACUGAGACUGGUUCUGUAUCUGUGGAGGUUGGUCCUUUCCCCACUCAGAAGGUGACUGAAACUGGUUCUUUAUCUGUGGAGGUUGGUCCUGUCCCCACUCAGAAGUUGACUGAAACUGAUUCUGUAUCUGUGGAGAUUGUUCCUGUACCCACUCAGAAGCUGACUGAGACUGGUUCUGUAUCUGUGGAGGUUGGUCCUGUACCCACUCAGAAGACAACCGAGACUGGUUCUGUAUCUGUGGAGGUUGGUUCUGUCCCCACUCAGAAGGUGACUGAAACUGGUUCUGUAUCUGUGGAGGUUGUUCCUGUACCCACUCAGAAGAUAACCGAGACUGGUUCUGUAUCUGUGGAGGUUGGUCCUGUCCCCACUCAGAAGGUGACUGAAACUGGUUCUCUAUCUGUGGAGAUUGGUCCCGUCCCUACUCAGAAGGUGACUGAAACUGGUUCUCUAUCUGUGGAGAUUGGUCCCGUCCCUACUCAGAAGGUGACUGAAACUGGUUCUGUAUCUGUGGAGGUUGGUCCUGUACCCACUCAGAAGAUAACCGAGACUGGUUCUGUAUCUGUGGAGGUUGGUUUUUUCCCCACGCAGAAGGUGACUGAAACUGGUUCUGUAUCUGUGGAGGUUGGUCCUGUACCCACUCAGAAGAUAACUGAAACUGGUUCCUUAUCUGUGGAGGUUGGUCCUGUCCCCACUCAGAACCAGUCUCAGUUAUCUUCUGUUUCUUUGGAGAUUGGUCCUGUCCCCACUGAGAAGAUAACAGAAACUGGUUCUGUAUCUGUGGAGGUUGGUCCUGUACCCACUCAGAAGAUAACCGACACUGGUUCUGUAUCUGUGGAGAUUGGUCCUUUCCCCACUGAGAAGAUAACUGAGAGUGGUUCGGUUUCUUUGGAGAUUGGUACUCUCCCCACUCAGAAGGUGACAGAAACUGGUUCUGUAUCUGUGGAUAUUGUUCCUGUACCCACUCAAAAGCUGGCUGAGACUGGUUCUGUAUCUAUUGCAUCCAGUCCUGUCCCCACAGAGAGGAUAACCGAGACUGGUUCUGGAUCUGUGGAGGUUGGUCCUGUACCCACUCAGAAGAUAACCGAGACUGGUUCUGUAUCUGUGGAGAUUGGUCCUGUCCCCACUCAGGUGACUGACACUGGUUCUAUAUCUGUGGAGGUUGGUGCCGUCCCCACUCAGAAGGUGACUGAAACUGGUUCUCUAUCUGUGGAGAUUGGUCCCAUCCCUACUCAGAAGGUGACUGACACUGGGUCUCUAUCUGUGGAGGUUGGUGCCGUCCCUACUCAGAAGGUGACUGAAACUGGUUCUGUAUCUGUGGAGGUUGGUCCUGUCCCCACUCAGAAGAUAACAGAGACUGGUUCUAUAUCUGUGCCAUCCAGUCCUGUACCCCCUGAGAAAAUAAACUCUACUGGUGCACUAUUUGUCAUAUCCAGCCUCCUCCCUACUGUGAGGGUAACUGAAUCUGGUUCUGUACCUUUGGCAUUCAGUCCUGUCCCCACUGAGAAGCAACAUGAGGCUGGUUCUGUAUCUGUGGAGAUUGGUCCUUUCCCCACUCAGAAGAUGACAGAAACUGGUUCUAUAUCUGUGGGGGUUGGCCCCGUCCCCACUAAGAAGGUGACUGAAACUGGUUCUGUAUCUGUGGAGGUUGGUCCUGUCCCCACUCAGAAGGUGACUGACACUGGUUCUGUAUCUGUGGAGGUUGGUCCUGUCCCCACUCAGAAGGUGACUGACACUGGUUCUGUAUCUGUGGAGGUUGUUCCUGUACCCACUCAGAAGAUAACCGAGACUGGUUCUGUAUCUGUGGAGAUUGGUCCUGUACCCACUCGGAAGAUAACCGAGACUGGUUCUGGAUCUGUGGAGAUUGGUCCUGUACCCACUCAGAAGCUGACUGAAACUGGUUCUAUAUCUACUGCAUCCAGUCCUGUCCCCACUGAGAAGAUAACAGAAACUGGUUCUGUAUCUGUGGAGGUUGGUCCUGUCCCCACUCAGAAGGUGACUGAAACUGGUUCUCUAUCUGUGGAGGUUGGUCCUGUCCCCACUCAGGUGACUGACACUGGUUCUAUAUCUGUGGAGGUUGGUGCCGUCCCCACUCAGAAGGUAACUGAAACUGGUUCUCUAUCUGUGGAGGUUGGUCCUGUACCCACUGAGAAGGUGACUGAAACUGGUUCUGUAUCUGUGGAGGUUGGUCCUGUCCCCACUCAGAAGGUGACUGAAACUGGUUCUCUAUCUGUGGAGGUUGGUCCCGUCCCUACUCAGAAGGUGACUGACACUGGUUCUAUAUCUGUGGAGGUUGGUGCCAUCCCCACUCAGAAGGUGACUGAAACUGGUUCUCUAUCUGUGGAGGUUGGUCCUGUCCCCACUCAGAAGGUGACUGAAACUGGUUCUCUAUCUGUGGAGAUUGGUACCGUCCCUACUCAGAAGGUGACUGAAACUGGUUCUGUAUCUGUGGAGGUUGGUCCUGUACCCACUCAGAAGGUGACUGAAACUGGUUCUCUAUCUGUGGAGGUUGGUCCCGUCCCUACUCAGAAGGUGACUGACACUGGUUCUAUAUCUGUGGAGGUUGGUGCCAUCCCCACUCAGAAGGUGACUGAAACUGGUUCUCUAUCUGUGGAGAUUGGUCCCGUCCCUACUCAGAAGGUGACUGAAACUGGUUCUCUAUCUGUGGAGAUUGGUCCCGUCCCCACUCAGAAGGUGACUGAAACUGGUUCUGUAUCUGUGGAGGUUGGUCCUGUCCCCACUCAGAAGCUGACUGAGACUGGUUCUGUAUCUGUGGAGGUUGUUCCUGUACCCACUGAGAAGAUAACCGAGACUGGUUCUGUAUCUGUGGAGGUUGGUUCUUUCCCCACGCAGAAGGUGACUGAAACUGGUUCUGUAUCUGUGGAGGUUGUUCCUGUACCCACUGAGAAGAUAACCGAGACUGGUUCUGUAUCUGUGGAGGUUGGUUCUUUCCCCACACAGAAGGUGACUGAAACUGGUUCUGUAUCUGUGGAGGUUGGUCCUGUACCCACUCAGAAGGUGACUGAAACUGGUUCUGUAUCUGUGGAGGUUGGUCCUGUACCCACUCAGAAGGUGACUGACACUGGUUCUGUAUCUGUGGAGGUUGGUCCUGUCCCCACUCAGAAGGUGACUGAAACUGGUUCUCUAUCUGUGGAGGUUGGUCCCGUCCCUACUCAGAAGGUGACUGACACUGGUUCUAUAUCUGUGGAGGUUGGUGCCAUCCCCACUCAGAAGGUGACUGAAACUGGUUCUCUAUCUGUGGAGGUUGGUCCUGUCCCCACUCAGAAGGUGACUGAAACUGGUUCUCUAUCUGUGGAGAUUGGUACCGUCCCUACUCAGAAGGUGACUGAAACUGGUUCUCUAUCUGUGGAGAUUGGUCCCGUCCCUACUCAGAAGGUGACUGACACUGUUUCUCUAUCUGUGGAGGUUGGUGCCGUCCCUACUCAGAAGGUGACUGAAACUGGUUCUGUAUCUGUGGAGAUUGGUCCUGUACCCACUCAGAAGAUAGAGACUGGUUCUGAAUCUGUGGCAUCCAGUCCUGUCCCCACUGAGAAAAACUCUUCUGGUGCACUGUUUGUCAUAUCCAGCCUUCUCCCUACUGCAAAGAUAACUGAAUCUGUACCUGUGGAGUUUGGAACAGUCCCCACUCAGAAGGUGACUGAAACUGGCUCUGUAUCUGUGGAGGUUGGUCCUGUCCCCACUCAGAAGGUGACUGAAACUGGUUCUUUAUCUGUGGAGGUUGGUCCUGUCCCCACUCAGAAGGUGACUGUAACUUAUUCUACAUCUGUUGGAGCCAGUCAUCCACAUGCUCAGGCUAAGAAAGUGACUGUAUCUAGUCCUCCCGUGUUGAGCUCUGUCACAGCUGAGAAACUUCCUCUCCCUAGUCCCUUGUCUUUAUCGAGCAUUCAGCCUUCUCCCAGUACGGAUGUCAGGCCUAUGUCAGUUUCCCGUCCGGGUCAGAUUAGCUCUCAACAUUCCAAUAUGGUUUUGAAGAGGUUGAAGUCACGUCUUUACCCUGGUGAACAAUCCACUCAGAAGCUAAUUGCAUGUUUGCGUAAACCAGGCUGUGCGUUUAAGGGUGUACGUUUCUAA